CCUACGGGUGGCAGCAGUGGGGAAUAUUGCACAAUGGGGGAAACCCUGAUGCAGCGACGCCGCGUGAGUGAAGAAGUAAUUCGUUAUGUAAAGCUCUAUCAGCAGGGAAGAAAAUGACGGUACGUGAGUAAGAAGCCCCGGCUAACUACGUGCCAGCAGCCGCGGUAAUACGUAGGGGGAAAGCGUUAUCCGGAUUUACUGGGUGUAAAGGGAGCGUAGACGGCAGUGCAAGUCUGGAGUGAAAGGCGGGGGCUCAACCCGCGGACUGCUCUGGAAACUGUACGGCUUGAGUGCAGGAGAGGGAAGUGGAAUUCCUAGUGUAGCGGUGAAAUGCGUAGAUAUUAGGAGGAACACCAGUGGCGAAGGCGGCUUUCUGGACUGUAACUGACGUUGAGGCUCGAAAGCGUGGGGAGCAAACAGGAUUAGAUACCCUUGUAGUC
rnacentral:rRNA from 1 species